GGAGCUGUGGUGUAGCCAGGUUAACAUAUCUGCCUGUCACGCAGAAGACCGCGGGUUCAAAUCCCGUCAGCUCCGCCA
rnacentral:tRNA from 1 species